GUCGAACGCUUCUUUCCUCCCGAGUGCUUGCACUCAAUUGGAAAGAGGAGUGGCGGACGGGUGAGUAACACGUGGGUAACCUACCCAUCAGAGGGGGAUAACACUUGGAAACAGGUGCUAAUACCGCAUAACAGUUUAUGCCGCAUGGCAUAAGAGUGAAAGGCGCUUUCGGGUGUCGCUGAUGGAUGGACCCGCGGUGCAUUAGCUAGUUGGUGAGGUAACGGCUCACCAAGGCCACGAUGCAUAGCCGACCUGAGAGGGUGAUCGGCCACACUGGGACUGAGACACGGCCCAGACUCCUACGGGAGGCAGCAGUAGGGAAUCUUCGGCAAUGGACGAAAGUCUGACCGAGCAACGCCGCGUGAGUGAAGAAGGUUUUCGGAUCGUAAAACUCUGUUGUUAGAGAAGAACAAGGACGUUAGUAACUGAACGUCCCCUGACGGUAUCUAACCAGAAAGCCACGGCUAACUACGUGCCAGCAGCCGCGGUAAUACGUAGGUGGCAAGCGUUGUCCGGAUUUAUUGGGCGUAAAGCGAGCGCAGGCGGUUUCUUAAGUCUGAUGUGAAAGCCCCCGGCUCAACCGGGGAGGGUCAUUGGAAACUGGGAGACUUGAGUGCAGAAGAGGAGAGUGGAAUUCCAUGUGUAGCGGUGAAAUGCGUAGAUAUAUGGAGGAACACCAGUGGCGAAGGCGGCUCUCUGGUCUGUAACUGACGCUGAGGCUCGAAAGCGUGGGGAGCAAACAGGAUUAGAUACCCUGGUAGUCCACGCCGUAAACGAUGAGUGCUAAGUGUUGGAGGGUUUCCGCCCUUCAGUGCUGCAGCAAACGCAUUAAGCACUCCGCCUGGGGAGUACGACCGCAAGGUUGAAACUCAAAGGAAUUGACGGGGGCCCGCACAAGCGGUGGAGCAU
rnacentral:rRNA from 1 species